UAAAGAAUAUGUUCUUAUCAGUGAACUAACAUCGCGCCAAAGAUUUGAGAAACUUGACCGGUCUAUAGUUUAACUGGCAGGUCACUAAACACGAGAGACCAACGAUGAAGUUUGUUGUUUACCUGAGUGCUGUUGUUUUUGUUGUGUGUCUGGCGUUUGGACAAAGGUCAGCUGACCUGAGGGAGAUGUUCAGGGACGUGCGUGCCGUUUGUGCUCACCCCGCCCUCUGCUUCAUAGACGCCUGCAUGAUGUCACCUUGUCCCACCACCUGCAUCAGAGAUUGUGUGUGCGGUUAUACCUGCCCUUAAGUCGCUUCCUGUGAAGGCUAUUGAUAUUAAUUAGUUAAGUUUUCAUGCACGUCACCAUCUGGAGUAUCACCAUGCGUCACCACCGUGACAGAACACCAUUCUAAAAUAAAGUAUAAAACGU